rnacentral:rRNA from 1 species
CAGUCCCGCGGGAAUACGUAGGUGGCAAGCGUUGUCCGGAAUUAUUGGGCGUAAAGGGCUCGCAGGCGGUUUCUUAAGUCUGAUGUGAAAGCCCCCGGCUCAACCGGGGAGGGUCAUUGGAAACUGGGAAACUUGAGUGCAGAAGAGGAGAGUGGAAUUCCACGUGUAGCGGUGAAAUGCGUAGAGAUGUGGAGGAACACCAGUGGCGAAGGCGACUCUCUGGUCUGUAACUGACGCUGAGGAGCGAAAGCGUGGGGAGCGAACAGGAUUAGAGACCCCUGUAGUCCCUGUCUCUUAUACA